GAUGAACGCUGGCGGCGUGCUUAACACAUGCAAGUCGAACGGUGAAAGCGGGAGCUUGCUCCUGCUGAAUCAGUGGCGAACGGGUGAGUAACACGUGAGCAAUCUGCCCCGAACUCUGGGAUAAGCGCUGGAAACGGCGUCUAAUACCGGAUACGACGCGCGACGGCAUCGUCUGCGCGUGGAAAGAACUUCGGUUCGGGAUGAGCUCGCGGCCUAUCAGCUUGUUGGUGAGGUAACGGCUCACCAAGGCGACGACGGGUAGCCGGCCGGGGAGGGUGACCGGCGACCGUGGGACGGAGACACGGCCCAGACUCCGACGGGAGGCAGAGGUGGGGAAAAGUGCACAAUGGGCGCAAGCCUGAUGCAGCAACGCCGCGUGAGGGACGACGGCCUUCGGGUUGUAAACCUCUUGUAGCAGGGAAGAAGCGAAAGUGACGGUACCUUCAGAAAAAGCACCGGCUAACUACGUGCCAGCCGCCGCCGUAAUAC
rnacentral:rRNA from 1 species